ensembl:lncRNA
AAAGGAAUGAAUGAGAAUGUGUUUUGAGGAACUUUCUUCUGUGGCAGUGAAUCACUCUGGAUUUGGGACACUGUUUUUCCCGUGCUGUGCUUCGGAAAUAAAAGCUACCCCUGGCUGCAUUGCUAAGCAUCAACGAACACUGAUGGGGAUUAACUAAAACGAGAAGGAAGAGCACAGCUGGAGAGCACCAAAAUGCCCCAGGAGAGGUUCCCCAAAGAGAGGUGAGGUGGAACUGGAGGAGGUGGAGAGCUGAGGGAAGGAAAAUGGAUUCUCUUUGCUGGACGACGAGAAGAUGGAGAGAUUGCCUCGAAAUUAAGAGGUCCUUCAGCGAUCUCAGAGGAAAACCGCAGUUUCUGGGGAGGAAAAAAAAAGAGGUUAUUGAGGGCUGGCAGCAAAUCUGUUUACCGGAUCUCCUUGAGCAGCAAUAGCAAAAUAGGCGAUCUCGCACUGCAGCGGGACCCCUCCCCAUCAUAAAGGGGCGUCUUCACUUUGGGUUCACUUUCCAUAAUCCGGAUAAUGGAGGUAAACCGAAGCAGCUGCCUUUGCGGAGGGGAAAUCCGUCCCCUGAUCGGUCCUCGGGAGAGGGCGGGUUGUAAUAGCGGCGGGGCGAUGCGCACUGCGGGCACCUCCCGGAGCCAUGGGGGGGUCGGACGGCGCAGAGGGGGCUCCAGGAGCUCAGAGGGGGAACCCCAGAGCCGGAGGUGCCAUAAAGAGGGAAGAAAAACGAUCCGUUUUCCUCGGACAACUUGAAAACAGGUAACGUCGAAAGGUUACAGAGAAGGAGGGUGGAGGAAAGCUUCCCUCCUGUUCGGGGGCAGCGGUGUAAUUCGGGCAGCACAGGGAGCAAGCGGGGGAAAAAAAUGAAGAUUAGAGGUGAUGAAUUAAAAAAUAAAUAAAAUUAUUAAUCAGUGCUGGAAUUAUUUCUCUGCUUUGCGGUGUUAUCUCGGAACUGCGUUGUCAGUUUUUCUCAUGGUUUGUUUCGUUUUUGUGCUGCUGUUUGUUCGUUUUUUCUGUACUAUUUAACUAAAGGAGGGGGAAAAAAGAAACCUUUCCUAUCCGCUGCGUUAACGGAGAGAGAAAAUACGUGUUUGUGGGUUGGAUAAUUUGCUUUCUUGGCGACGUCGGCAAAGGCAGCGAGUUGGGAGGGGGGGAAAUCCGGGUGGGAAUGGGCUCACGGCUCUCCGGGUCGG